rnacentral:rRNA from 1 species
GACGAACGCUGGCGGCGUGCUUAACACAUGCAAGUCGAACGGAAAGGCCCUGCUUUUGUGGGGUGCUCGAGUGGCGAACGGGUGAGUAACACGUGAGUAACCUGCCCUUGACUUUGGGAUAACUUCAGGAAACUGGGGCUAAUACCGGAUAGGAGCUCCUGCUGCAUGGUGGGGGUUGGAAAGUUUCGGCGGUUGGGGAUGGACUCGCGGCUUAUCAGCUUGUUGGUGGGGUAGUGGCUUACCAAGGCUUUGACGGGUAGCCGGCCUGAGAGGGUGACCGGCCACAUGGGGACUGAGAUACGGCCCAGACUCCUGCGGGGGGCAGCGGGGGGGAAUUUUGCACAAUGGGGGGAAGCCUGAUGCAGCAACCCCGGGGGGGGGAUGACGGCCUUCGGGUCGUAAACCGCUUUCGCCUGUGACGAAGGGUGGGUGACGGUAAUGGGUAAAGAAGCACCGGCUAACUACGU